rnacentral:piRNA from 1 species
UACAUCUUUUAAAGGCAAACAAAAGGCUGG